GUCUACGGCCAUGCCACCCUGAACAAGCCCGAUCCCGUCUGAUCUUGGAAGCUAAGCAGGAUUGGGCCUGGUUAAUACUUGGAUGGGAGACCACCUAGGAAGACCAGGUCCUAUAGGCA
rnacentral:rRNA from 1 species